rnacentral:rRNA from 1 species
CCCUUAGAUGCUCUGGGCCGCACGCGCGCUACACUGGUCGAUGCAACGAGUUUCUUUCCUUGGCCGACAGGCCUGGGCAAUCUUUGAACAUCGAUCGUGAUCGGGAUAGAUUCUUGUAAUUUUUGAUCUUAAACGAGGAAUUCCUAGUAAACGCAAGUCAUCAGCUUGCAUUGAUUACGUCCCUGCCCUUUGUACACACCGCCCGUCGCUACUACCGAUUGAACGUUUUAGUGAGGUACUCGGACUGAGCCUCAGAAGAUUCACGUCUUUUGUGCUGCUCGGGAAGAUUCCCAAACUUGAGCGUUUAGAGGAAGUAAAAGUCGUAACA